rnacentral:rRNA from 1 species
AUGGCUCAGGAUGAACGCUAGCUACAGGCUUAACACAUGCAAGUCGAGGGCAGCAUGGAGUUGCUUGCAAACUCUGAUGGCGACCGGCGCACGGGUGAGUAACGCGUAUCCAACCUUCCCUAUAGUAGAGGAUAGCCCGGCGAAAGUCGGAUUAAUACUCUAUGUUUUCCGUUGCAGACAUCUAAGAUGGAACAAAGGCUUGCCGCUAUAGGAUGGGGAUGCGUCUGAUUAGGUAGUCGGCGGGGUAACGGCCCACCGAGCCAUCGAUCAGUAGGGGUUCUGAGAGGAAGGUCCCCCACAUUGGAACUGGGACACGGUCCAAACUCCUACGGGAGGCAGCAGUGAGGAAUAUUGGUCAAUGGACGAGAGUCUGAACCAGCCAAGUAGCCGUGCAGGACGACGGCCCUAUGGGUUGUAAACUGCUUUUAUGCGGGGAUAAAGUUCACUACGUGUAGUGUUUUGUAGGUACCGCAUGAAUAAGGACCGGCUAAUUCCGUGCCAGCAGCGGC